CGAGCGGCGAACGGGUGAGUAACACGUGAGUAACCUGCCCCAGGCUUUGGGAUAACCCCGGGAAACCGGGGCUAAUACCGGAUAUGACCAUCUGUCGCAUGGUGGGUGGUGGAAAGAUUUUUUGGCUUGGGAUGGGCUCGCGGCCUAUCAGCUUGUUGGUGGGGUGAUGGCCUACCAAGGCGGCGACGGGUAGCCGGCCUGAGAGGGCGACCGGCCACACUGGGACUGAGACACGGCCCAGACUCCUACGGGAGGCAGCAGUGGGGAAUCUUGCACAAUGGGCGGAAGCCUGAUGCAGCGACGCCGCGUGAGGGAUGACGGCCUUCGGGUUGUAAACCUCUUUCAGCAGGGACGAAGCGUUUGUGACGGUACCUGCAGAAGAAGCGCCGGCCAACUACGUGCCAGCAGCCGCGGUAAGACGUAGGGCGCAAGCGUUGUCCGGAUUUAUUGGGCGUAAAGAGCUCGUAGGCGGCUUGUCGCGUCGACUGUGAAAACCCGUGGCUCAACUGCGGGCUUGCAGUCGAUACGGGCAGGCUAGAGUUCGGUAGGGGAGACUGGAAUUCCUGGUGUAGCGGUGAAAUGCGCAGAUAUCAGGAGGAACACCGGUGGCGAAGGCGGGUCUCUGGGCCGAUACUGACGCUGAGGAGCG
rnacentral:rRNA from 1 species